rnacentral:rRNA from 1 species
ACAUGCAAGUCGAGGGGCAGCAUGGUCUUAGCUUGCUAAGGCCGAUGGCGACCGGCGCACGGGUGAGUAACACGUAUCCAACCUGCCGAUAACUCGGGGAUAGCCUUUCGAAAGAAAGAUUAAUAUCCGAUAGUAUAUUAAAACCGCAUGGUUUUACUAUUAAAGAAUUUCGGUUAUCGAUGGGGAUGCGUUCCAUUAGGCAGUUGGUGGGGUAACGGCCCACCAAACCUUCGAUGGAUAGGGGUUCUGAGAGGAAGGUCCCCACAUUGGAACUGAGACACGGUCCAAACUCC